AUUCCAUAGCUGAGUAUCAUCGGCGUAACUCGACCGUAUUUGUUAGUAAAUCGAUUAACUUCUUACAAUAUAAAAUUGUAGAUUUCUUACGAAUGUAGAGCAAUGACAAAAGUGUCUAGGUGUAUUGAAAAUACAGGAAAAAGAUUUACCCAGAGAAGCUUAUAUUUGUUGCUUUCAUUUCAAAUCGGACGAUUUUCAAUGGAAAGGAAAUCCUGAGAAGAAUUUUUGGAAAAAGAAUGUAAUACCUUAACCAUACUUUCAAUCAGAUAGAAGUACAGAUGUAUCUUCCAGUAAGAGGCAAAAAGUUAUGUUAAAUUUGGAAAUUAAACCGGGUACUUCUUGGCAGUGUUUUGAUUCAACAUUUGAAAAAUAUUUAUUGUCUGUUUGAAAAAUGUUGUUAAUUCAUAUUGCGUAUUUCAAUGUUCAAAAAAUGUUAAAUAUUUGCUUAUUAUAAAUUUUCACAAGACCACUUGGAACUGUUUUUUGGUGCUAUUAGAAGUAGAGGUGGAUUCAACAAUAAUCCUACCUCCAAUUUGAAAAUACCUUUAAGAGACUUCUAAUUCACCAAGAAGUAAAAGUAUGAGAUUCAGGGAAUAUUAUUAGAUUGGAUUCUACUGGCAUAUUGCAUUGUAGUAGCCAAGGACCUAGUAAGACUGAUAAUGUUCAAAAAGAUGCAGAAUUUGAAAACCAAUUGAAGCAAAAUAUUGAAGAAUUUCAGUAUUUUAACUCGGAAUCAGGAUUUUGACCGAUUAUGUUUUAGAUGUAGUUAGUUAUAUUGCGGGAUUUGUUGUAAAAUCUUUAAUACAAAUUAUUAAUUGCAAA